AUUGUGGUUAAUGAUGCACCCUCUUUCCCCGACAUAUCGACCAUGGUGAUGCACCUAAUGUAAUAAGCCAAUUAUGUCUGAAACCACAAU